GUGUCAGCAGCCGCGGUAAUACGUAGGUGGCAAGCGUUAUCCGGAAUUAUUGGGCGUAAAGCGCGCGCAGGCGGUUUCUUAAGUCUGAUGUGAAAGCCCACGGCUCAACCGUGGAGGGUCAUUGGAAACUGGGGAACUUGAGUGCAGAAGAGAAAAGCGGAAUUCCACGUGUAGCGGUGAAAUGCGUAGAGAUGUGGAGGAACACCAGUGGCGAAGGCGGCUUUUUGGUCUGUAACUGACGCUGAGGCGCGAAAGCGUGGGGAGCAAACAGGAUUAGAUACCCCCGUAGUCC
rnacentral:rRNA from 1 species